GAGGGUAUAGUUCAGUGGUAGAGCACAUGCUUAGCAUGCACGAGGUCCUGGGUUCAAUCCCCAGUACCUCCA
rfam:Camelus ferus unplaced genomic scaffold scaffold2641, whole genome shotgun sequence.